rnacentral:rRNA from 1 species
GACUUACCAACCCGAUGCAAACUGCGAAUACCGGAGAAUGUUAUCACGGGAGACACACGGCGGGUGCUAACGUCCGUCGUGAAGAGGGAAACAACCCAGACCGCCAGCUAAGGUCCCAAAGUCAUGGUUAAGUGGGAAACGAUGUGGGAAGGCCCAGACAGCCAGGAUGUUGGCUUAGAAGCAGCCAUCAUUUAAAGAAAGCGUAAUAGCUCACUGGUCGAGUCGGCCUGCGCGGAAGAUGUAACGGGGCUAAACCAUGCACCGAAGCUGCGGCAGCGACGCUGAUGCGUUGUUGGGUAGGGGAGCGUUCUGUAAGCCUGCGAAGGUGUGCUGUGAGGCAUGCUGGAGGUAUCAGAAGUGCGAAUGCUGACAUAAGUAACGAUAAAGCGGGUGAAAAGCCCGCUCGCCGGAAGACCAAGGGUUCCUGUCCAACGUUAAUCGGGGCAGGGUGAGUCGACCCCUAAGGCGAGGCCGAAAGGCGUAGUCGAUGGGAAACAGGUUAAUAUUCCUGUACUUGGUGUUACUGCGAAGGGGGGACGGAGAAGGCUAUGUUGGCCGGGCGACGGUUGUCCCGGUUUAAGCGUGUAGGCUGGUUUUCCAGGCAAAUCCGGAAAAUCAAGGCUGAGGCGUGAUGACGAGGCACUGCGGUGCUGAAGCAACAAAUGCCCUGCUUCCAGGAAAAGCCUCUAAGCAUCAGGUAACAUCAAAUCGUACCCCAAACCGACACAGGUGGUCAGGUAGAGAAUACCAAGGCGCUUGAGAGAACUCGGGUGAAGGAACUAGGCAAAAUGGUGCCGUAACUUCGGGAGAAGGCACGCUGAUAUGUAGGUGAAGUCCCUCGCGGAUGGAGCUGAAAUCAGUCGAAGAUACCAGCUGGCUGCAACUGUUUAUUAAAAACACAGCACUGUGCAAACACGAAAGUGGACGUAUACGGUGUGACGCCUGCCCGGUGCCGGAAGGUUAAUUGAUGGGGUUAGCGCAAGCGAAGCUCUUGAUCGAAGCCCCGGUAAACGGCGGCCGUAACUAUAACGGUCCUAAGGUAGCGAAAUUCCUUGUCGGGUAAGUUCCGACCUGCACGAAUGGCGUAAUGAUGGCCAGGCUGUCUCCACCCGAGACUCAGUGAAAUUGAACUCGCUGUGAAGAUGCAGUGUACCCGCGGCAAGACGGAAAGACCCCGUGAACCUUUACUAUAGCUUGACACUGAACAUUGAGCCUUGAUGUGUAGGAUAGGUGGGAGGCUUUGAAGUGUGGACGCCAGUCUGCAUGGAGCCGACCUUGAAAUACCACCCUUUAAUGUUUGAUGUUCUAACGUUGACCCGUAAUCCGGGUUGCGGACAGUGUCUGGUGGGUAGUUUGACUGGGGCGGUCUCCUCCUAAAGAGUAACGGAGGAGCACGAAGGUUGGCUAAUCCUGGUCGGACAUCAGGAGGUUAGUGCAAUGGCAUAAGCCAGCUUGACUGCGAGCGUGACGGCGCGAGCAGGUGCGAAAGCAGGUCAUAGUGAUCCGGUGGUUCUGAAUGGAAGGGCCAUCGCUCAACGGAUAAAAGGUACUCCGGGGAUAACAGGCUGAUACCGCCCAAGAGUUCAUAUCGACGGCGGUGUUUGGCACCUCGAUGUCGGCUCAUCACAUCCUGGGGCUGAAGUAGGUCCCAAGGGUAUGGCUGUUCGCCAUUUAAAGUGGUACGCGAGCUGGGUUUAGAACGUCGUGAGACAGUUCGGUCCCUAUCUGCCGUGGGCGCUGGAGAACUGAGGGGGGCUGCUCCUAGUACGAGAGGACCGGAGUGGACGCAUCACUGGUGUUCGGGUUGUCAUGCCAAUGGCACUGCCCGGUAGCUAAAUGCGGAAGAGAUAAGUGCUGAAAGCAUCUAAGCACGAAACUUGCC